rnacentral:misc_RNA from 3 species
AACGCACAUUGCGCCCUCUGGUAUUCCGGGGGGCAUGCCUGUUCGAGCGUCAUUACAACCCUCAAGCCCAGCUUGGUGUUGGGAGCCACCCCAGCGGUGCUCCUCAAAGGCAGUGGCGGCGCCUCUCGGCUCUAAGCGUAGUAAUUCAUUCUCGCUCUGGGGACCUAGAGGUGGCUUGCCAGCAACCCCAAAUCUAUCAAGGUUGACCUCGGAUCAGGUAGGGAUACCCGCUGAACUUAA